UACGUAGGGUGCGAGCGUUGUCCGGAAUUACUGGGCGUAAAGGGCUCGUAGGUGGCCAACUAAGUCAGACGUGAAAUCCCUCGGCUUAACCGGGGAACUGCGUCUGAUACUGGAUGGCUUGAGGUUGGGAGAGGGAUGCGGAAUUCCAGGUGUAGCGGUGAAAUGCGUAGAUAUCUGGAGGAACACCGGUGGCGAAGGCGGCAUCCUGGACCAAUAUUGACGCUGAGGAGCGAAAGCUAGGGGAGCAAACGGG
rnacentral:rRNA from 1 species